GAUGAAGAACGCAGCGAAAUGCGAUAAUUAAUGUGAAUUGCAGAAUUCCGUGAAUCAUCGAGUUUUUGAACGCAUAUUGCGCCCCUUGGUAUUCCGAGGGGCAUGCCUGUCCGAGCGUCAUUGCAACCCUUCAAGCACGGCUUGUGUGUUGGACGGCCGCCCCAGUGUGGGCGGGUCCCAAAUGCAGUGGCGGCGCCGCGAUCCGGGUGCUCGAGUGCAUGGAAACCACGCGCUCGUUAGGCCCCGUCGGGCGCCGGCCGACCUAAUUAUCUUCGUUCUGGUUGACCUCGGAUCAGGCAGGAAUACCCGCUGAACUUAAGCAUAUCAAUAAGCGGAGGA
rnacentral:misc_RNA from 1 species